UGCUUGCGUUAGUGAAAUAUUCAGUAUCUUUUGUCAUGUGUGCUGUCCACUAUCUUUUGUCAAACGGCACCACUAGUACUUGGAUAUCCAAUUUUUCUCAUCGGACGGUCCGUUGCAACACGUGGAAAUAAAGUCUGCAAUACUGAAACUUAGCUUUUGUAACAUUCAAAUAUACGAUUAAAAUAUCAGCUCCAUAACAUCCGAUUCUAAAGAAAAACAAAUUCCCACCGCAACAAAUUAGAGAUGUUUCAUGCAACAUCCCAAUUCAAAUCGUCCUUUUAAGUAAGAAUCGUAACUUUGCAUAUCAGCUAUUGAAAUAUUUAAGAAAACCUUAUGCAACAUCGAGAAAUGGCUAAUGCAACAAUAUCACUUGUUGCAAUAUCAAGGAAAACUCUAUAGCAUUUCAAAUUAAUUUAUGCAACGUUGGGAAACACUAACCCAAACAUCUCAAACCAUCCAAUACAUCAGAAGAAAAAUCGAACAUGAAACUGGACAUCUCAAAACUAAUAUUGCAACAUCAAAGACCAUCUAGUGCAAUAUCAGCAAACACUAAUCCCAACAUCUCAAAAAUACCAACUGCAACAUCGUAAAAUUUUGGUGCGUCGUGGCUUACUGGUGCCUCUAAACAUGGAGUCUUCUUCCUCCAGAGCACAAUAGAAUGUUCUCAUGGAGUCAUGGUGCAUACAUCCAUCUUCCCCUUCUAUGGACCUCCUCCCGGUAAGCACAUGAGUAGGAGCAAGCGCAUGGCUCGACCACCAGCAUGGGAGCAAGCGACUCAGCAUCCUGCGACCAUGUCCUCAAACGACGCGAAUUGGAAUAGCUCGUGACCCAGGUCGGCAGCGACGGCGCCCAACGGGAGCUCAGUGGGUGCACUGCUUUGGCCUUUGGCGGUGUGGGGCAUGACCACUACAAUCUCACUAGC
rnacentral:lncRNA from 1 species